AUUGAACGCUGGCGGCAGGCCUAACACAUGCAAGUUGAACGAAGUCUUCGGACUUAGUGGCGGACGGGUGAGUAACACGUGGGAACGUGCCUUUAGGUUCGGAAUAACUCAGGGAAACUUGUGCUAAUACCGAAUGUGCCCUCCGGGGGAAAGAUUUAUCGCCUUUAGAGCGGCCCGCGUCUGAUUAGCUAGUUGGUGAGGUAAAGGCUCACCAAGGCGACGAUCAGUAGCUGGUCUGAGAGGAUGAUCAGCCACAUUGGGACUGAGACACGGCCCAAACUCCUACGGGAGGCGGCAGUGGGGAAUCUUGCGCAAUGGGCGAAAGCCUGACGCAGCCAUGCCGCGUGAAUGAUGAAGGUCUUAGGAUUGUAAAAUUCUUUCACCGGGGACGAUAAUGACGGUACCCGGAGAAGAAGCCCCGGCUAACUUCGUGCCAGCCGCCGCAGUAA
rnacentral:rRNA from 1 species